GAAAUUAUGAAAUAUACAAUU
rnacentral:piRNA from 1 species